GUACUGGGAAUGUCAAAAGUAAGCAGUCCUCCUAGAAGAAAUUGAGAGAAUACAGGGCAAAGGGAACACUAUAGCAAGGCCUUACAAAGGAUGAGCCUGAUCGUAUGUGCCCAAAACAAAGCCAGGGGUUGUAGCCGACUUGCAUUUAACGCUGAACAUAGCGUGAACCAUUUUUGCAGUCCUUCAACAAUGGUCUACUUAGGUGAAAACCACAAGCUUUGGAUUGGGGAUUUCCCCAAACAAAUUAUGGAAACCUAACCACAACAGAGAUAAGAGUGUUUAGAAGACAUUGGGAAGUUUAUCUUGCAACACUGCAGUUAGCUGAUUACAAUAGCCACAGCCUGAAGCUCUGUCAAAACACUUGUUCAAGGCCUCUAGAUACAGUAACAACUGUUAUAACUGUUGUAACUGUUAUAUUCAUUAUUUCU